UCUCAGACUAAUAAGAGGGGAGGAUUAAGAGGAGGCAAGUUGUGAUGUUGUUGACAGAAGAUAGAGAGCACAGAUGAUGAUAUGCGCAAUAUGCAUGGUUUUUGCAUCUCACUCCUUUGUGCUCUCUAUGCUUCUGUCAUCACCUUAAUUCAGCCCCUCAUCCCACUGAUCCCAUCUUUGAUCACUCCUUUAAUCAACUGCAGCAUUACUUUGAUUAUAUAUAUUAUUUUCUUCCUCUUGAACAUUGUUUUUGUCAAUUAUAUAUGACAGUUUUCGAAGCUGUACUAAUAUAUAUAUGUUAGUGUUAUGUAUUUUUCCAGUUCGAAUCAAGGAAGAGGCCAGAGAAUUAGGCACUAUUAUUGAAGUGAUCAGUAAGGUAAUUGCCAAUGAUGAUAGAUAUUAAGAUGUGAUUCCUAAAGGGGAGGCACAACUUGCUUUGUGGGAGAUAAGGAAAAUGCACAAGGAAAGGAAGCUCCAAAGACAAAAGACAUAUGGGUCUAGCUGACACAGCCAAAUUAAGUGGGCCUCACAUUCAGGAUCCACCUGGAAUUACAAUUCUGCAGGUUGCAAAUUUGCUGGAAAGUGUCAUGUGCCUAAUAUGUAUGAAUAAGUUACAUAUAUACCUUUAUUCAAAACAUGGCAAUCUGAUCUUGAAUCGCCAAA